rnacentral:lncRNA from 1 species
AAUUUAAAGACAGAACAUCUAACGGUUACAAAGAAGUAUGCCUUUUAGAGUGUAAUUAGUGGGUUUCGAAGGUUGAUAAAGUAGGUGAGUCACAGUUAGAAGAGAUAUGGCCAGGCGAAGUUUGGUUAGCAGAUAUAUGGUCAGACCCUAGUUGUACGGGGAGUAUUGUGGUCAGGUGAUGAAUGGAUGGGAGGUGUGUGGUCACUCGAUGUGUGGAUGGAUGUUGUGUGGUAGGGCGAUGAGAUGUGGUCAGAAGAGUGGUAAAGUGGUGGUGGAGAGAUGUAAGGAGGGUUCCGAAAUGGGGAAUCAAGAAUGGGAGCAUGCCUUUUAGGGUGUAACUAAUGGGUUACGAAGGUUGAUAAAGUAAGUGAGUCGUGGUCAGAAGAGAUAUGAUAAGACGAGAGUAUUGUGGUCAGGUGAUGAGUGGAUGGGAGGUGUAUGGUCACUCAAAGUGUAGACGGGUGUUGUGUGGUCAGACAAUGAGACAUGGUCAUACGAAUUGUGAAGUGGUGGUGGAGAGAUGCAAGGGGCGUUCCGGAGUGGGAAAUCAAGAAUGGGUGUGACAUGCAUUUUGUUCUGAUCAUUGUUGAGAGGGGCAUAUUGCUGGAUCCCAUAUAGGCUGACUGCAGCAUGAUAUUUAUGAGUUGAUUACUCUGUAGGACACAUUUUGAGUUUCUCUUACACUCAUAGACACUUUCUACUUGUGACACACUUUUUUGUGGGGUCUACUGGAGUUUUGGACAAUUAUACCUUUAAAGGAAAAGAAUGUUAGUUUUUUUAUUAUUGUUCUUAGUGUACUUCAUGAUUUCAUUUGUUUUUAUCUUAAAAUCUAAAAUAUAUUAAAGAAAAAUAAUUUUCAUAAUAAAAUAUAUAUAUAAAAUUCUCUAUAUUUUAAGAUCUAUUUUCAUAUAUGUAUGUUAACUUGUAAACAAAAUUAAUUGUGGACAUGAAUUACAAAGCGUGGAUAGUAGAGUUAUACACUAGUUGUGGACAUUGACACCUUAUAUACUAGUUGUGGACCUUUAAGGUGUCCAUGUCCACAACUAGUGUAUAACAUUAUUAUCGUGUUAAGGUGUCCAUGUCCACAACUAGUGUAUAAUAUGUCUAUGUCCACAACUAGAAUAUAACUCUACUAUCCACGUUUUGGUAUCCACGUCCACAUUUAAUUUUGUUUACACGUUAAUAUAUAUAUACAUAUGAAAAUGGAUCUUAAAAGAUAGAGAAUUUUAUGUAUAAUUUAUUAUGACAAUUAUUUUUAUUUAAUACAUUUUAGAAUUUGAGAUAAAAAUAAAUGAAAACAUAAAGUGGAAUAAGAAGAGGAGGGAGAUUCAUGUAAUGAGAAAAAACAAUUUUUAUAUUAAAAACAUAAAGGCAAUGAGAGAAAGAAUAAAGUCUAGUGUCAUAAGAGUCUUUUUGACAUGAGAAAGUGUGUCUCAAGCACUAAGUGUCCUAUAGUGUAAUUGAAAAGUGAGAAAGUGUCUAUAGGUGUAAAAAAUUCAAUAUUUAUAUGGAGAACUUGAAUAAAGAGAACAUAGAAUACGGUCAUCUUCAACAAGACACCAAAACACCAAAUUUAGUGUAAUUUCAUCUCCAACAAAACACCAAAAUUGACAUCAUCCCACCAAAUUUGGUGUAGAGUAGGAAUAUGUGGUACGUUAAUAUACAUAUAUAUAUAUAUAUAUAUGAAAAUAGAUCUUAAAAGAUAGAGAAUUUUAUGUAUAAUUUAUUAUGACAAUUAUUUUUAUUUAAUACAUUUUAGAAUUUGAGAUAAAAAUAAAUGAAAACAUAAAGUGGAAUAAGAAGAGCAGAGAGAUUCAUGUAAUGAGAAAAAAACAAUUUUUAUAUUAAAAACAUAAAGGCAAUGAGAGAAAGAAUAAAGUCUAGGGUCAUAAGAGUCUUUUUGACAUGAGAAAGUGUGUCUCAAGCACUAAGUGUCCUAUAGUGUAAUUGGAAAAUAAGAAAAUGUCUAUAGGUGUAAAAAAUUCAAUAGACUUACAUUGAAAGAUACUUUAUGAGUUAUCUUUACACUAAAAUACACAAUAUUGUUUUGACACACUUUACAGUGACAACUGUUUUAUUGAUGAUGAAAAUAACCUUGCUUUUUGCUUAAGACAAGAAUGUUUUUUUUAAGAAGACAGCGUAAUGAAACUUAUUUAGUGUUUGGUUGCAUUUAAUAAUAAAGUUGUGAACCAUAAAGGCAGCGAUAUGGGUUUCUGUGAAUGGUUUGUAGACGUGUGAUCAAUUUAAAGACAGAACAUCUAACGGUUACAAAGAAGUAUGCCUUUUAGAGUGUAAUUAGUGGGUUUCGAAGGUUGACAAAGUAGGUGAGUCACAGUUAGAAGAGAUAUGGCCAGGCGAAGUUUGGUUAGCAGAUAUAUGGUCAGACCCUAGUUGUACGGGGAGUAUUGUGGUCAGGUGAUGAAUGGAUGGGAGGUGUGUGGUCACUCGAUGUGUGGAUGGAUGUUGUGUGGUAGGGCGAUGAGAUGUGGUCAGAAGAGUGGUAAAGUGGUGGUGGAGAGAUGUAAGGAGGGUUCCAGAAUGGGGAAUCAAGAAUGGGAGCAUGCCUUUUAGGGUGUAACUAAUGGGUUACGAAGGUUGAUAAAGUAAGUGAGUCGUGGUCAGAAGAGAUAUGAUAAGAUGAGAGUAUUGUGGUCAGGUGAUGAGUGGAUGGGAGGUGUAUGGUCACUCAAAGUGUGGACGGGUGUUGUGUGAUCAGACAAUGAGACGUUGUCAUACGAAUUGUGAAGUGGUGGUGGAGAGAUGCAAGGGGCGUUCCGGAGUGGGAAAUCAAGAAUGGG